UCAGCUGAGGUUCCCCUCUGUC
rnacentral:miRNA from 1 species